rnacentral:rRNA from 2 species
UGAAAAAGAACCUGAAACCGUGUACGUACAAGCAGUGGGAGCACAGGUUUACCUGUGUGACUGCGUACCUUUUGUAUAAUGGGUCAGCGACUUAUAUUCUGUAGCAAGGUUAACCGAAUAGGGGAGCCGGAGGGAAACCGAGUCUUAAUUGGGCGUUAAGUUGCAGGGUAUAGACCCGAAACCCGGUGAUCUAGCCAUGGGCAGGUUGAAGGUUGGGUAACACUAACUGGAGGACCGAACCGACUAAUGUUGAAAAA